CCCCAUCCAAAAACUAUUUGCUUUAUCAAUAAGAAAGUUAUUAGUUUUAUUUGUCUUUUAGAGAUUGUAACAACGUAUACUGUAUGUACGGUAGAGUAUGGUACAGUAUGCUAUUAGCUUAUUACAACAGACUAAGUAAACAGGUGAUUUGUUCCGGAACUAGGCCAGCAUCCCUUUCCUGAGCUGCUUCGAAUAUUUCUACAAAAAUAAUUUCUACAGCCAUUACAGCAUGUCGGAUGACUUGGAUCAGCAAGAGUCAAGAGUAGAUGAACAACAAAAUCGGACAGACUGGUAAUGAAGAUGAAGAUGGAAGAAGGCUAAAGAGUAAUUGGUUGAAGGCUGAUCCAGUUGUAAAUGGUGUUACAUCAACCUCACCUUUAUUACUUGUUUUCUGAAGGCUGAUCAAGUAAAGAUAACAGUUUAACAGCCUCAUGCAACUAUGUUGUUAUUUUGACCAUGUUUGAUGAAUGCUAAUCCAGGUUUUAAUGGACGUACUUCAACUUUACUUAUAUUCUAAUUUUGCGAAAGGCUUAUCCAGAUAACAUGCUGGAUUAAAAAUGAGGACUUGUUUGGUGGAAGAAUUUACCAAGGAAAAUAAAGAAUUCUCAAGUCAUUGCAAAAGGUUCACCAAUAUAUCUUAGUGAUCCUUAGUGCUUGCAAUACAAGUGUCAAAGAUUGCAGGACAAGAAUGACUUUAAAGAACAGAGAAGACUUGUUUUAUGCACUUAAUAUUUAGUUUUGCUUUAUAUUUUAUGACUAUGACAGAGUUGUGUAAAAUUCAUGUAAUGUACUGUUCUAAUAUAUCUGUUUUGGUAAUUACUCAUUUUGAAAAUUUUGUAUAGAUGUUAAUAAUCAUUUUCCUUCUUGGGUAUCAUUGACAACUAUUUAAAGUUUUAAGUACCGUUACUUUGUUUUGUAUUUUUAUUUUAUAAGAGUAAGAUGUUAUUCUUGAAUACUAGUACCUUGUAGGUAUGAACUGUGUUGUUUCUUACUUGAUAUGUGUAGUAUUAAUCUUUUACCCCAAAUUGCAUUUAAUUUUGAAAAAAACAUAUAAUUUUAUCAUUUAUACCAUACCAAUAUAAAUGCCUAUCUAAAUAAAACUUAGAGAACCUUGGCAUAAAAAAAUACAUAAUUUCUAAAAGACAUUAGAUUAUGAAGACUUAACAUGACAUCAUACGUACGAAGAAACUUUGGAAAGUGUCACACCAGUGAUUCUUUUUGUAUAACUCUGGUAUUCAAAUACUUAUUAAAUCUCAUUUUUUAUCGGGGAUUUUCUUCAUUGUAUAGAGAGUGCAUUUAUCAUCUAGUUUAAUAUUCCCCGCAAUGUUAUUUGUAUAUAUAUUUGUUGUAAAUACAGAAAAACAUACAUAAUGAUUAUGAUAUGCUAAUACUUCAUUAUAACACAUAAUUUUACUUUUAAUUAUGAUGAAUAUUUAAACUGAAUUGACUAUUUAUAUGUUAUGACCCUUGAUUGUUUCCUUUUGUGUUGAAAAACAAAAAGUAUUCAAAGGACCUAGAGUAACCAGACAGAAAGUCAAGGAGUCACAAAUAAUUCAUUUACAAUUAUUUCAAUGUAUAAAUGAAAAUGCUUCAAAUAUUGUCUUUCUCUAAGAUAUAUUGCUUAUGCUUUAUUAAUUUUUGAAGGGUAAAUUGGUUAAUAAAUUUGUUUGGUUUAUAAUAGAUUAGAAUAUAUUAAAAAAAUGUCUGUAUUAGUCUUCCUAUUCAAAAAGAAUUCUCUCAAAAAUACAUUGUGACCUCUUACUCUUUUUUUGUAAUUAGUGACUUUUUUGUCUACUUCUUUUAUACGAAGUAUGAAUAUGAAGUAUGAAAAUAUGAAUUUUACAUGACGCAUAUCACAUAUGUAUGGAUAAUUAGUCCCCUACUGAUAAAGUCGAUGUAUACUUUAGGUUUGUACUCUGUCUAUCUGUCAGUCCUGCAAAUCAGUUUUCCACACUAUUUUUCUUCAUGCUUGAAGAUAUUGAUUUGAUAUUUGGUAGAUUGUCUUAUCAUGACAAGCUACAGAUCAGGAUCAUAUUUUGUUCUGAUCUGGCGUUUUUUGUUUUUUUUUAGAGUUAUCCUUCAAUUUAGACUUUUUCAAAUAAUCAAUUUUCCAUACUUCUUUUUUUGUCAAUUUUGAAGAUAUUUAUUUGAUGAUUAGAUUAUAGUUUUAUCAUGACAAGUUACAGUUCAAGUUUUAAUUUUGUUCUGAUUUGUGCAGAGUUAUGGCUCUUGAACUUAGAAAUAUCAAUAAAAUAAUUAGUUUUCACUUUUGUCGUGCUAGAAGAUAUUGAUAUGAUAAUUGGUUUAUAUUUUUAUCAUCACAAGUUACAGAUCAAGAUUGAAUUUUGUUUUGGUCUGAUGAUUUUCUGCAGAGUUAUAUUCCUUGAACUUAGAAAAUUCACAUAGAUAAUCAGUUAAUUAUCAAAACUUUUUUAAUCAUGUUUGAAGAUAAUGACUUGAUGUUUGUUUACACCAUGACAUGUUAUAGAUCAAGUUAGAAAUUUGUUCCAAUACAGUGAAUAUUUAACACUAGGUGACUAUAUAGGGACUAUUGCCAUGCAAUACUCACAGAAUGCUUGUUUUCUUUAAUAUUUUAUAAACUUUAUUUAGGUAUUACUGAUAAUUUAUUCAAUUACCUAUAUGCAAAUUUAGAAAAUUAGAAGAUUUAUAAUAAAAGAACAAAAUUGAUUA